AAUUCCGGCUUCCACUCGCUGGUCGUGGCGGCCGGGGGGCGGGGCUCGCGUCGGAACCGUUGCACAGCCCCUCCCCCUCCACCCGUCGCGCGCUCAACGGCCCGGGCGCACACCUGUGGCGCACCCUGUGCAUAGCAGGGACACGCGUGUGGCGCACGCCAUGCACGCAUAUCGUGUACCCCAUGUGUGGCAGGAACACGCGUGUGGCGCACCCUGUGCAUGGCAGGGACACGCGUGUGGCGCACGCCAUGCACGCAUAUGGUGUACCCCAUGUGUGGCAGGAACACGCGUGUGGCGCACCCUGUGCAUGGCAGGGACACGCGUGCUGUGUAAGUCUAGGCCCAGUAAGUAACUUAUUGGCCUCCCUCAGGCGGGGAGGCUGCAGGAAAGGUGACAACUGAGUACUUGGGACAAAUUAUAAUGAAAACAGGGCCAGGAGCAGAGGCCAAAGGUUCAUAACAAGAGUGCCAAAGGGGGGUGGCAGGAGGGGCGGCACUGAGCAGGGCACACUGGUUCUCAAACGCGUCCAAAGAGCCAGCGUGCGCUGCCCCGUGAUACUCUGCUCGAGACGGGAACGAAGGAGGGCAAGGGAAGCGGCCCCGCUGCCUCGGGUGCGACAGCGUCAGAAAGCUGGUGGAAGUCAGUAGCUGGUAGGAGGUACAGGUGUGACAGUCUUCAGAAAGAGACAGAAAUGGAUCUUGUCCCGGAGCUGAUUGGAAAGGCAGACUUGGACGUCUGAGCGAGGAAACUGCCGGCUGCUACCACGGCAGGGAAGCAGGGCUUGGUACGUGUUCCCUGUUUGUAUCAGAGAUCCCAAUUUGUGUAAUCAAUUUCUUCCCCUAAAAGAAACAGGCAACAAGAAGUCCCCAGGGUCACUUAAGUGCUUGGGCGAAGGCGGCUCGGCAGUAGCAGCAUUCUGCUGAAGCCAGUUCUGUGGGCAUCACACCUGCGCGCGGCUGCUCCUCAUCGUAGACCCGAGGGGCAGGACCUGAAUCGACUGGGGCUGAUGAGGGUACGGUACUUUAUAAAGCAACCUGGUCGUUGCUUAACUGGGAUCAUUGCGCUCUUAAAAUAGGAGGAGAAAUGUUUCGAAGUAAUAGUAAUGGCUAGAUUAACCCCUUCACAAGGUAAUCAAUCCAACUGCAAUAAUCGUUCUUAGAGACAGCACUAGGCAAGAGUGCUUGCUUCUCUGCACAAACAGAAGUGUAAUUUUUCAUACCUGGAGAAAGUAAAGAGAAGACUAUAGGAAAAACCUUUGAUAGUUGCAGCGAGUUUGUAAAUUGUGACCAGAGUUUGCUUAUUUGCAGAUAGCCAAACCCCCUCCCUGUUCUUUUCUGUGAAGCGGCAGUCGCAGAGGCUUUUCCUGUGCUGUGAGUUGGAAAAGUUAUGACAAAUUGCAGGGAAAGGCAGAGGAGCUGCUAUAAGAAGAGAAAAACUGCCAUCUUGUGGUGUUUAUAUGACUUGUUGGGCGUGUGGUCUAAUUUCUCAGCACUGCCCUCUGCUCUAAGACAGUGAAAGGGGACAGAGACAGAGGACGAAUUGCCAGCUUUAAAGCAGGUCCAGGAUUAAGCCUGCCAGAAUGAGCACUGUCUGACUGCCUGCCCUCCGUGCGUAAUCCCCACUGCAUGUAGCUGAGUCAGCACGAGGCGCUGUGCAUCGAAUUGCCAGGGGGCAGUUCAUCCGCUGGCUUUUUGCACCAGAACAGGCCACAACCAAAAAAAAUGGAGUUAAUCUUUGAAGCAUAAAAUAAAAACUCAUUUAUUAGA